ACUGACCCUCAACCUGCUACUUAUCAUGUGACUGUUCUGAUGGGUUUGUCUCUUCCUGCCUUUUUUUCAGGUCAGUAGACAUCACUGCCACCACCACCUGCAUAUGAGUCAACACCACACAAGAAACCAGCCGGUCGCCCAGAGCUGGAUGGGUGAAUUCUAACGCAAGCUCGGCCUGCCACUUCAUCUUGGGACCCAGUUGAAGCAACUUUUCCUGACAAGCCCGGAGGUUGGACUGGAGGUACUGCCAUCCGUCGCAUGCUACGGCGAGUCGCAACCAAUGAUGUUCUAAAACUGUAUAUCCUGCGGGGCAGAAAGGCAAAGAAGGCCUUCCAGGACCUGACAUUCUGCAGGGUUAUAACAGGCAGGUGU